CCUACGGGGGGCAGCAGUGGGGAAUAUUGGACAAUGGGCGCAAGCCUGAUCCAGCCAUGCCGCGUGAGUGAUGAAGGCCUUAGGGUUGUAAAGCUCUUUUAUCCGGGACGAUAAUGACGGUACCGGAGGAAUAAGCCCCGGCUAACUUCGUGCCAGCAGCCGCGGUAAUACGAAGGGGGCUAGCGUUGCUCGGAAUCACUGGGCGUAAAGGGCGCGUAGGCGGCGUUUUAAGUCGGGGGUGAAAGCCUGUGGCUCAACCACAGAAUGGCCUUCGAUACUGGGACGCUUGAGUAUGGUAGAGGUUGGUGGAACUGCGAGUGUAGAGGUGAAAUUCGUAGAUAUUCGCAAGAACACCGGUGGCGAAGGCGGCCAACUGGACCAUUACUGACGCUGAGGCGCGAAAGCGUGGGGAGCAAACAGGAUUAGAUACCCCAGUAGUC
rnacentral:rRNA from 1 species